CCGUCGAUAGCUCAGUAGGUAGAGCGUUGGACUGUUUGUCCAAAGGUCGCUGGUUCAAGUCCUGCUCGACGGA